GACGAACGCUGGCGGCGUGCUUAACACAUGCAAGUCGAGCGGAAAGGCCCUUCGGGGUACUCGAGCGGCGAACGGGUGAGUAACACGUGAGUAACCUGCCCCAGACUUUGGGAUAACCCUCGGAAACGGGGGCUAAUACCGGAUACGACACAGCUUCGCAUGGGGUCUGUGUGGAAAGUUUUUCGGUUUGGGAUGGGCUCGCGGCCUAUCAGCUUGUUGGUGGGGUGAUGGCCUACCAAGGCGACGACGGGUAGCCGGCCUGAGAGGGCGACCGGCCACAUUGGGACUGAGACACGGCCCAGACUCCUACGGGAGGCAGCAGUGGGGAAUAUUGCACAAUGGGCGGAAGCCUGAUGCAGCGACGCCGCGUGAGGGAUGACGGCCUUCGGGUUGUAAACCUCUUUCAGCAGGGACGAAGCGUAAGUGACGGUACCUGCAGAAGAAGCGCCGGCCAACUACGUG
rnacentral:rRNA from 1 species